UUCCCCUGACCUUUUUUAGUAAAGGAAAACAUUUUCAUUGGAUUGUAUAAACCACUGGCUUGGGGCCAGUGUUGUGACACAGUGGGUUAAGCCGGUACUUGCAACGCUGGCAUCGAUACCAGAGCACAGAUUGAAUCCCACUUCUUCUCCUUCUCCUUCUCAUUCUCCUCUUCCUCUACCUCCUCCUCCUCCUCCUCCUCUUUCUUCUUAAAAUUUUAUUUAUUCAAAAGAGUUACAGAGAGAGGUAGAGCCAGAGAGAGAGAGAAAGAGGUCUUCAUCCACAGGUUCGCUCCCCAAAUUACUGCAGAGCUGAGCUGAUCUGAAGCCAGGAGCCAGGAGCUUCUUCCAGGUCUCCAACACGGAUACAGGGGCCCAAGAACUUGGGCCAUCUUCUACUGCUUUCCCAGGCCAUAGCAGACAGCUGGAUCAGAAGUGGAGCAGCUGGGAUUUGACUGACACCCAUAUGGGAUGCUGGCACUGCAGGCUAGGGCUUUAACCCGCUGCGCCACAGCACAGACCCCCCCCUAUUCCACUUAUGAUCCAGCUCUCUGCUAAUGUGUUUAGGAAGCAAUGGAAGAUUGUCCAAGUACUUGGGCUCCUGUCAACUUAAUUCCCUUAAAAAACUAUUUAAUUAUGCAAAUAAGAUUAAUCACAUCAUCAAGAAGCGAGUUACCUGAGUUGGCUAUUUAGCAGAUUGUGUUAUUUCAGUGUCUACAGAGAUGUGACUAUCUCUAAGAUAAAAGCUCAACUUGUGGAGUGCAGGUUAGUUUUCCAGAAUGUGGCCCCCGCCCCCAGUCCUGGACAUCCCAGGAGCCCCGCAUGCAUUCACAGGGCUCACACUACACACACCUGCUGCUCUGAACAAGUGCACAUCAAGCCACAUGAGUGUUUUGCACCGAGGGCUCCUCACAUACACUCAACACUCUUCUUUCCUGUCCUCCUCACUCCGAUCUGCCAAAGCCUCACAGAUAACACAACUGAGUCAACUAAAAUAGUUCCAAGUUCUACGGCACUAAGGUCUAUAAGGCACUUGUCCACUUAAGGCAACGACUUCCAGUGCCUACCGGGAGAAAGGACAUUUUUAUGCUGUUCUCUGCGUGUCUUCUUUUCCAUGAUAGAUCUGUUAUCAGUCCCCAUUAAUUCAUGGUUUCUCCAUUUUGUGGGUGAAAAGAAGCAGUUUCAUUUGGGUGAUGUGUGAAGUCUUUGAUGAGAGUGUUUACAAUAAAGCUUUUUAAAAAAAUAUGUAUUUGAAAAGCAGAGUGACAGAGAGGGUAGAGUAACAGAGAGGGAGAUGAGAGGGAGAGAGAGAAAGAGAGAGAGAGACUCUUUCAUCCACUGGUUCACUCCCACGUGGGUAGCAGGGCCCCAAGGGCUUUGGCCAUUCUCUACUGCAUUCUCAGGCACAUUAGCAGGAAGCGGGAUUGGAAGCAGAUCAGCCAGGACUUGAACCGGUGCUCCAAUAUGGGGUAUAGUUUUUGCAAGCAUUAGCUUAACCCGCUGUGCCGAAACACUGGCCCCAGUACUUUCAGAUUUAGAUAGACUAAUUUUUUUUACUCCAUAAAAGCAACAUGUAAGAAUUUGGGGAAUUGGGGGAUAUGUUAGUACAAAAGCUACCUGUUUAGAAAGUAUCAGGAAACACCUUCCACCUUUUCCUACAAUUUGUUCCAUGCUAGCCAAGACAGCCAGUAGUGGAUGGCGACCGUUUUCUAUUUUCCUUUUAUGUUUCAAUUGUCUUUAAUAUAAUUGAUACUAGAGGGGCCAGUGCUGUGGCAAGUCGGUUAAAGCUGCAUCCUGCAGUGUUGGCAUCCCAUAUGGGUGCCGGUUUGAGUCCCAGCUGCUCCACUUUUGAUCUAUCUCUCUGCUAAUGUGCCUGGAAAAGCAGUGGUGAAUGGCCCUAGUCCUUGGGCCCCUGCACCCACAUGGGAGACCUGGAAAAACUUCUUGGCUCCUGGCUUCAGAUCAGCUCAGCUCCGGCCACUGCGGCUACCUGGGAGUGAACCAACAGAUGGAAGAUCUCUCUUUCUCUCUCUCUCCCUCCCUCUCUCUCUCUCUCUUUAUCUAACUCUGCCUUUUAAAUAAAUAAAAUAAAUCUUUAAAAAAUAGUUGAUACUAGGAGAAACUCAUUCCUUUUUGGCCUUGAGCCUCAAUGGCAACAUUAAUUUAGUUGGCUUAAUACUUUCCAAAGAAUGAAAUUAUCCCUUGGACAAAUAAAAGAAGUUGCUAGAAAACAAAAUUAUCAAGGCAGAGUUUUAAUUUCCCAAGACGGAAAAAUAGAAAUUAUUUUGUGGAUGUUUUUUCCCGAAGUAUAAAGGUAUAAAGUUAAUUGGGAGGGUCCAGCGCUGUGGUGUAGCAGGUAAGCAUUUGCUUGCAGUGCCAGCAUCCGAUAUGGGUGCUGGUUUGAGUCCUGGUUGAUCUACUUCUUAUCUUGCUCUCUGCUAUGGCCUGGGAAAACAGAAGAUGGGUCCAAGCCUUUGGGCCCCUGCAUCCUUGUGGGAGAACUAAAGGAAGCUCUUGGCUCUUGGCUUUGGAUCGGCGCAGCUCCAGCUGUUGCAGCCAAUUGGGGAGUGAACCAGUGGAUCGAAGACCUCUCUCUCUCUCUCUCUCUCUGUAACUCUGACUUUGAAAUAAAUAAUAAAUAAAUCUUUCUUUUUUAAAAAAAUUUUAGGCCGGCGCCGUGGCUCACUAGGCUAAUCCUCUGCCUUGUGGCGCCGGCACACUAGGUUCUAGUCCCGGUCAGGGCGCCGGAUUCUGUCCUGGUUGCCCCUCUUCCAGGCCAGCUCUCUGCUGUGGCCAGGGAGUGCAGUGGAGGAUGGUCCAAGUACUUGGGCCCUGCACCCACAUGGGAGACCAGGAUAAGCACCUGGCUCCUGCUUUUGGAUCAGCGCGGUGCGCAGGCCGCAGCGCACCGGCCAUGGCGGCCAUUGGAGGGUGAACCAACGGCAAAGGAAGACCUUUCUCUCUGUCUCUCUCUCUCACUGUCCACUCUGCCUGUCAAAAAAAAUUUUAGACAAUCUAGUGAGAUUGUUAUUUUUUAAAGAUUUAUUUAUUUGAAAGUCAUAGUUACAUAGAGAGAGGAGAGGCAGAGACAGAGGGGGAGAGAGAGAGAGACAGAGAGAGGUCUUCCAUCUGAUGGUUCACCCCUAAUUGGCCACAAUGGCCAGAGAUGCGCCAAUCUGAAGCCAGGAGCCAAGAGCUUCUUCCAGGUUUCCCACGUGGGUGCAAGGCCCCAAGGACUUGGGCCAUCUUCUGUUUUCCCAGGCCAUAGCAGAGAGCUGGAUCAGAAGUGGAGUAUAAAGUUAAUUGGGAGGGUCCAGCGCUGUGGUGUAGCAGGUAAGCUUGAACCGGAGCCCAUAUGUGAUGCCAGCGCUUCAGGGCAGGGAGUUAACCCACUGUCCCACAGCACCAGCCCCAUAAGUAAAUCUUUCAAAAAAAAAAAAAAAAAGAACCCCACCCUGGUUAAAAUGCCUGCUCCCAUGUUGUACUGCUUGGGUUCCAUACCCAGCUCCGGCUCCUGACUCCAGAUUCCUGCUGAUACAGGCUCUGGGAGGCAGCAGUGUUGACUCAAGUCAUUGGGUUCCUGGCAUCCACACGGGCGACGCAGCUUCAGCACAGCUCAGUACUUGCUCUUGCAGGCAUCUGAGGAUUGAUCCAGCAGAUGGGAGCUUAGCUGCCUGCCCUUCCUCCCCUGUGUCAUCAGUGCCCCCUCACACAGGGUCAGUCCUGGUCUCCAGUAUCCUACACCUUAUCUACAACCCCACCCCUCAGAGCAACCCCAGAGCCCUUGAGGCUGACACCUGUGCCUGCUUCCCUCUAGUGAGGGGUAGCGGAGGGGCAGAGGUACAAGUGAGCUGCUUUGCAUUGCUUGAAAGCCCCCACGGCCCCCUGUGGUCCCCUGCACCAAUAUCUGGGUGGCUGACGAGGAAGAGAAACCCACUCACCCCCAGGUGCACCCUCCACUCUGCAUGCUCCUUCCCAGCGCUGCGUCUGAUUGGUGGUCGGUUCUCAGCACCUCCUCCACUCCACCCACUGGCCCCGCCAGGGGAGUCCCCAUCACCUCUGACCUUGCGUCGGGUGCCAGCGGCCUCUGUGUGGGCACACCCCACAGUCUCCUAGGUCAGUCAGCCGCCUCACCUCCACCACCUCCUUCCUGUCUGACCACGCCCUCCUGCCCGAACUGGCUUCUCUGGGUUCCUGGGCCAGACAUGCUCCAGUUCUCCCUCUUUAGAGUCUGUUCCCAAAUGAACAUCUCAGCCUUGACCCCGAUCUGCUGUAUCACUGACCCAGCAACUUGAAUUUCAAGAAAUUUUUUAGUUAAAGAAUUUAUUAUAUAUAUUUAGUUGAGAGGCAGAGAGAGAGCGAGAGAGAGAGUGAGAGAGCGAGAAAGAUAGCAGUCAUAUACUGGUUCACUCCACAAAUACCCACGACAGCUGGGGCCUGGGCUGAUGCCAAGAGCUAGGAACCCAAUCCGGGUCUCCUUCAUGAAUGAUAGGAACACAAUUCUUUCAGCCAUCGUCUGAUGCCUCCCUGCACCGGCAUGAAUCUAGAACAAGAGCCAGAGGCAGGACCUGAACCCACGCACUGCAAUGUGGGAUGCAGGUGUCAUUUUUUUUUUAAAUACCAAUUGCUCCCUUAUCUUUGAAUGUAUUUCACUAACUUUUUUUUUUUAAGAUUUAUUUAUUUAUUUAUUUGAAGGCAGUUACAGGGAGGCAGAGGCAGGCAGUGGAUAUCUUUCCAUUUGCUGGUUCACGCCUCAGAUGACCACAAUGACCGGAGAGUCACCAAUCUGAAGCCAGGAGCCAGGAGCUUCUUCUGGGUCUCCUACGUGGGUGCAGGGGCCCAAGCACUUGAGCCAUCUUCUGCUGCUUUCCCAGGCCGUAGCAGAGAGCAGGAUCGGAAGUGCAGCAGCCGGGACCUGAACCAGCGCCUAUAUGGGAUGCAGGCACCGCAAGCAGCAGCUUUACCCACUUUGCUACAGCGGCGGCCUCCAGACGUCAUUUUAACCACUAGGCCAAAUGCUCACAUGAGCAGAUUCUUUUCAAAUUUUUUCAAUUGUUUUUAAAAUUUAUUUUGUAUUUGAAGGCGCAGGAGGGGUGGGGGAGAGGGGAAGAGAGAGAGAGCUUCCAUACGCGGGUUCACUCCCCAAAUGGCUGCCAUGGCCUAGGGCUGGACCAGGCGCCAGGAGCUUCAUCUGGGUCUCCCACUUGCAGGGACACAAGUGGUUCCGUAAGGGAUGCUGGCAUCGCAGGCGACGGCCUAACCUGCUAAACCUCGCCGCCGGCCCUGUCUUCGCUUUUUGAUUGGUUGGUGCCCUUCCGCAUCAUCCAAUCAGAAUGAGUCUCCGGGACCGCCACCUUAACACCGAGGCUAUAAAUAGGCCGCUGAGCUUCCCCCUCGCCAUUUUCUCCGCGAGGCCCGGCUUUUCUGUCCUUCGGCCAGGGGUUGCGCGGUCACCUAACGGCCGUGCGGGGCUCCAGCCCCGAUCCCUGGAUCCCUGGACAGGACGGCAGCGGCGGACGCCGGCGGGAAGGGCGGGCCCGCGGCCGUGCGCCAGGGAGUUGAAGCAUCCUGGUUGCAAGAAUACAGAACCCUGCCACAUGACUGUUUCUGGUGGCUUUCUUCCUGAUUGCUUAAAUUGGAAACCAGGACCAAGAACAUUGGCCCAUCUAUCCAAGGGGGUAUAACUCAGUGAUGAAAAUCAUUGAGCAAUCAAGCCACAAAAAGG